GAGGGACCCCAGCGCCCGGCACC
rnacentral:miRNA from 1 species